rnacentral:rRNA from 1 species
ACCAGACUCCUACGGGAGGCAGCAGUGGGGAAUAUUGCACAAUGGGGGAAACCCUGAUGCAGCGACGCCGCGUGAGUGAAGAAGUAUUUCGGUAUGUAAAGCUCUAUCAGCAGGGAAGAAAUAGCGACCUUUGGGUCGCCAGACGGUACCUGAUUAAGAAGCCCCGGCUAACUACGUGCCAGCAGCCGCGGUAAUACGUAGGGGGCAAGCGUUAUCCGGAUUUACUGGGUGUAAAGGGAGCGUAGACGGCAGCGCAAGUCUGAAGUGAAAUGCCGGGGCUUAACCCCGGAACUGCUUUGGAAACUGCCAUGCUAGAGUGCUGGAGGGGUAAGCGGAAUUCCUAGUGUAGCGGUGAAAUGCGUAGAUAUCGGGAGGAACACCGGUGGCGAAGGCGGCUUACUGGACUGUACCUGACGCUGAGGCGCGAAAGCGUGGGUAGCGAACGGGAUUAGAUACCCCGGUAU